rnacentral:rRNA from 1 species
UUCUUUAAGACAAAUUAUUUAAAGUAAAACCUGCUCACUGAAAUAUUAAUUUUAAACAGCCGCAGUAUAACUGUGCUAAGGUAGCAUAAUAAUUUGCUUUUUAAUUAAAAGAUAGAAUGAAAGGUUAAACGAUUAAUAAUUGUUUCUUAAUUAAUAACUAAAUUGAUCUUUAAGUAAAAACACUUCAAUAUAAAGACUAGACGACAAGACCCUAAUAAACUUAAAAUAAUUUAGUUGGGGUGACAUUAUAAUUAUAUCUUAUACAAAACUUCAAAACAAAUCUCUCAAUAAAAUCAAGACCAGUUACUAUAGGGAUAACAGCGUAAUAAUUUUUAAGAGUUCUUAUCUAAAAAAAAGUUUACGACCUCGAUGUUGAAUUAUAUUCCUUAUUAUAACGCAAAAGUUAAUAAAGGUAGUCUGUUCGACUAUUAAAAAUUU